GUCUAUGGCCAUACCACCUUGAACGCACCCGAUCUCGGAAGCUAAAGGCCUAGUUAGUACUUGGAUGGGAGACUACCUGGAAAAACCUGGUGCUAUAGGGG
ensembl:rRNA 5S_rRNA 5S ribosomal RNA